GGUUGCUUAGCUCAGUGGUUAACCUUUGGGUUCAGAGUAUUGUAAUGAGAAGGUCGUCAGUUUGAGUCUGGCAGCAGCCU